UUCCACACAGUCCUCAGUCCUGGUGUACCUCUUUGUUGUGGCUAGAUUGAAACACACUGGGCAGCAGCACACCCAUUACCCUCUGCUUACUGCACACCCCUGGGGUGGCAGAGCUGCACCUCAGGGCACGGGCACCCACACAGCACCUUUGGGCUCCAGCUGGGAGCACCAGAAUGUCUUUACUUUCCCCCACACCCGUAUCUGCAGUCCAGCUGGAUACCAGCUGGAUGGGGAGCCUGCAAUGGAUUAUCCUGCCCUCUCAACCUACACACCUGGUGAGAUCUCAGUGCCUAAUUGAUGUGUUCCUCCCCAAAGACUAAAACAAUAAAAAUAAAUAAUACAACUCGCUUUCA
rnacentral:lncRNA from 1 species